GUUGCCAUAAUUUACGCUCUCAAAAUUAAGAAAUCUAAACGAAAAAGAAGGUACUGGGUACAUCCGUUAUACGAAAGGCGUCUGACAAAUGGUCAGUUUCAUUGCCUUCGGUUGAGGGAAUAUCCCGAAAAGUUUUUUAAUUAUUACAGAAUGAGCGUUACGUCUUUUGAUGAAUUAGUGACGUUGAUGAGACCUCACUUGCAAAAGUCACUUUAGAGAUUGCAUCACUUUGGAAGAAAGAUUAACAGUCACUAUAAGGUAGUCAAAGAGAACUUUCCUGCAGGAUUAAAGUCUCCUAAAAUUCGAGGCAGAUUGAAAGUUGAAUUGGGAUUUUAUAUAUUUAAUUUCUUUAUUAAAAAGGCGUAGAUCAAAAUUCAUUUCUUCCGGGCAGUUGAAAAAGAAAACAAUUCGGAGAAUUUGAGAUUGUGGAGCUCCAGGGAAUGGAAAGAACCCAGCUUCAAAUCCCUGGACUACUUAAAUCAUUCUUCCUCUUCUCUUUUUAUAUUUUCUUACAGGUUUCAAGUCCCUGGCUUUAGAUCAUAAUUUAUUCCUUCAAAGCAGUUGAAAAAGAAAACAAUUCGGGCAAUUUGAGAUUGUGGAGCUCCAUGGAAUUGGAAGAAUCCAAUUUCAACUGCCUGGAUAAAUUAAAUCAUUCUUCCUCUUCUUUUUUUUUAUAUUUUCUUACAGGUUUCAAGUCCCUGGCUUUAGAUCAUAAUUUAUUCCUUCCAGGCAGUUGAAAAAGAAAACAAUUCGGGCAAUUUGAGAUUAUGGAGCUCCAGGGAAUUGAAAGAAUCUAAUUUCAACUGCCUGGAUGAAUUAAAUCAUUCUUCCUCUUCUCUUUUCCAUAUUUUCUUACAGGUUUCAAGUCCCUGGCUUUAGAUCAUAAUUUAUUCCUUCCAGGCAGUUGAAAAAGAAAACAAUUCGAGCAAUUUGAGAUUGUGGAGCUCCAGGGAAUUGAAAGAAUCCAACUUCAACUGCCUGGAUGAAUUAAAUCAUUCUUCCUCUUCUCUUUUUCAUAUUUUCUUACAGGUUUUAAGUCGCUGGCUUUAGAUCAUAAUUUAUUCCUUCAAAGCAGUUGAAAAAGAAAACAAUUCGGGCAAUUUGAGAUUGUGGAGCUCCAUGGAAUUGGAAGAAUCUAAUUUCAACCGCCUGGACGUAUUAAAUCAUUUCUCCUCUUCUCUUUUCCAUAUUUUCUUACAGGUUUCAAGUGCCUGGCUUUAGAUCAUAAUUUAUUUAUUCCAGGCAGUUGAAAAAGAAAACAAUUCGGACAAUUUGAGAUUGUGGAGCUCCAGGUAAUUGGAAGAAUCCAAUUUCAAUUGCCUGGACAAAUUAAACCAUUUUUCCUCUUUUCUUUUCCACAUUUUCUUACAGGUUUCAAGUGCCUGGCUUUAGAUCAUAAUUUAUUCCUUCCAGGCAGUUGAAAAAGAAAACAAUUUGGGCAAUUUGAGAUUGUGGAGCUCCAGGGAAUUGAAAGAAUCCAAUUUCAAGUGGCUGGAUGAAUUAAAUCAUUCUUCCUCUUCUCUUUUCCAUAUUUUCUUACAGGUUUCAAGUCCCUGGCUUUAGAUCAUAAUUUAUUCCUUCCAGGCAGUUGAAAAAAAAACAAUUCGGGCAAUUUGAGAUUGUGGAGUUCCAGGGAAUUGAAAGAAUCCAACUUCAACUGCCUGGAUGAAUUAAAUCAUUCUUCCUCUUCUCUUUUUCAU
rnacentral:lncRNA from 1 species